CACACUGCUUCCGAAGAACCCUAUUAGACAUGGCCGUGGUAAAUGUCACUGUGGUCAUGGGAACGAGAACAUUCAGCAACAUCCACUCGGAGAGAAAGCAAGUGCAGAAGGUCAUUAUUCACAAAGAUUACAAACCGCCCCAGCUCGACAGUGACCUCUCUCUGCUUCUACUUGCCACACCAGUGCAAUUCAGCAAUUUCAAAAUGCCUGUCUGCCUGCAGGAGGAGGAGAGGACCUGGGACUGGUGUUGGAUGGCACAGUGGGUAACGACCAAUGGGUAUGAUCCAUGUGCUGUACUUCCCUGGGUCCUGGGAGGCUGGCUCCUAGGGACUGAGUUACCUGGGAUCCUAAACGCCACUUAGCUUGACCUCAGCAAGUACCAACAGAAAGUACCAGGGCAGGAAGGGAGAGGGUUGGGGUAUUUCUUCCCUGUCACUUUCCUAUGUGGGCCACUGUUCUGCCGCUGGCUGGGUCCCUUCUAUACUCAGUCCCCACAGGGUAGUCCCUCCUUCACGCUUGCGGCCCUCACUGGAUUCCAAUGACAGUAGCUUGCCCUACGGCUUACUGCUACUGUUCAACUCUGGACAUCUUGUUCUCCUUCGCUGAAUCCCUUUACAACGCCCACAACUUUCAGUGCCUUCAUUAAAAUGCCUUCAUUUGCACUUUCAGAGUAGAAUCCUGUUUCCUUCUGAAGCCCUUCCUAAUUGAUAUACUUAGGGCCAUCUUCCUUAACACCCCAGACCUGCUGGUUUCGGAGCCAUCGACCUCCUCAUUUCCACCGCAGAGGGCUGGAGGAGAUUCAGAAAAUCAGGGCAGGGCCCAGGAGAAGGUUCUUUCAGAGCAUGGCUUCAGCCUGGUUACUUCUGACACCAGCCAGGAGGAACAGACUUCUUCCCCAUACAGCAGGUACCACCAGAAGUACCUGAGCAAGAUCACCCUCAGCUCCUGCAGCCUCAGGGCACCGGAGUGUCCUGUCCACGGGGCAUUUGUUACGGACAAAGAUUUGUGUGGCCUUUCACUUUGCACGCUGAAGCUUAACCCUGGCUGCAACGGGACGGGGGGCCACCAAGGAAGUCAUUAAGGUUAACUAAGGUAUAGGGUGGUGCCCUGGUUGACAGGAUGGUGGCCUUAUGAGGACACUUACAAGAUGGACGCCCACUUGUCCCCCGACCCCUCUGGCACAGGAACUGAGGAAGAGUCACAAGAGGACACAGCAGAUGUUGGUCACCUGCAGGCUAGGAAGAAAGCCCUCCCCAGGAACCUGGGUCUUGGGGACUUCCAGCCUCCACUGUGGGAAAGAAAUGCGUGUUGAUCAGUCCACCCAGUCUAUGGUGUUUUGUAACGGUGGCCAGAGCAGACAAAGACAGUAUGAAAACAUAACUUCUCCCCACACGCUGAAGUUAUAACAGCAAUGCUUUCAACAAAUUGGGCAACGCUUUUGUGGUUCCCACUGGGCGAGUGUUGAAGCUUACAAAACACAAAGGCAUUUUUGAACGUCUGGUCUUUGAGGUAUAAUUUCUAUUCAGCAAAUUCACCACUUCAGGAUGGAUGGUUCUGUGAAUUCUGAUGAAUGUAAAUGGCUGUGACCAGACAUAGAACUUUGGCCGAAUGUGGUGCCUCAUGCCUGUAAUCCCAGCACUUUGGGAGGCUGAGGUGGGCGGAUCACCUGAGGUCAGGAGUUCAAGACCAGCCUGACCAACAUGGUGAAAACCCGUCUCUACUAAAAAUACAAAAAUUAGCUGGGCGGGGAGGCAUGUGCCUGUAAUCUCAGUUAUUCAAGAGGCUGAGGCUGGAGAAUUGCUUGAACCUGGGAGGUGCAGGUUGCAGUGAGCUGAGAUCACACCAUUGCUCUCCAGCCUGGACGACAAGAGUGAAACUCUGUUUCACAAAAAGAAAAGAAAAAGACAAGACAUACAACAUUUUCAUCACCCCAAAACAUUCCCCUGUGCUUCUUAGUAAUCCAUCCUCUUCCUGGAACCCCAAACCUGGGCAACAACUCAUGCGUUCUCUGUGCUUGGAGUUUUGCCUUUCCCAGAAUGCCAUGGAAUCAUACGGUGUGCAGCGGCUCGUGUCUGGCUUCUCCAGCUCGGUGCGAUGCUCCUGAGAUCCGAGUUGUUGUGCGUGUCAGUCGGCUGCUCCUCUUCGCUGCUGUGUAGCACCGCUGUUGUGUGAAUGCACCGCAGUUUGUUCAUCGCUUCCUCUGACGAUGGACAUUUAGGUUGUUACCAGUUUUUAGCAAUUAAAAAGAAAGCCACCAUAAACACUGGGUACUGGUUUUCACGUGGACGUAUGUUUCUGUGCAGUCCUGUUUUGAUUAAAAUGUGAACUCGUCUACUGCCGUGGUAGGCAAUUUUUGGAUGACUUGGGGCCUAAAUGAAGAGAAUGCAGGCGCUUGCUGUGUUCUCCCUUUCUGUAGUCUGGGACUGCCAUGGAAGUCGUGUGGUUUCUUUGGGCAGGAUGGUGGGUAAUGCGGGAAUUCUUUUAUCUAUGCCCUGUUCCAUCUCAUAUGCAUGUCCCCUCCAGUGCCCAAAAGUUUGCAAACACUUAGAGCAGCGAUCAGAUGUUUUGCUCUACUGACCCCAAAUAAAUACAUGCUGUUUGCAAAGAACAGAGGCAAGGAGGCUUUCUCUCCCAUUUCACGACCCCGCUUGGCAGAGAAAAG
rnacentral:lncRNA from 1 species